GAGCAAGCGAGUACCACGUCUUCAAAAUUUGGACGCCUGAUGUGGAAAAAAACUUCCUUGGCGACCACAGCUUCCUGGCUCCGGCUUGUGGGAGGCUCCAGGACCGUCGAAGUGGGUCAACUGCUGACGCCUGCUCAAGUGAAACUUUGAGGGGACCAGAGAAUCAAAAAGAUCAACAAGAAAGUCUUACUGGCUCUGAGGCCCAACUCAGGGGGGCAGCUGGUAACUCUGUCUGGUGUCCAGUAAGAAACCAGGGACUGUAAGUGCUUUUUUUUUU